rnacentral:rRNA from 1 species
UACGUAGGCAGCAAGCGUUGUUCGGAAUUACUGGGCGUAAAGAGUGUGUAGGCGGUGCUCUAAGUUCGGUGUGAAAUCUCCCGGCUUAACUGGGAGGGUGCGCCGGAAACUGGAGUGCUCGAGCGUGGGAGAGGAAAGCGGAAUUCCUGGUGUAGCGGUGAAAUGCGUAGAUAUCAAGAGGAACACCUGCGGUGUAGACGGCUUUCUGGACCAUUGCUGACGCUGAGACACGAAAGCGUGGGUAGCAAACAGG